GGGGCGGUGAAGCGCGUUUCCCCAAAAGAUACAUCAAGCAGUCAAGUAUGAUAGAUUUUACAUCAUUACAGACCACCUCCCAGCUGCUAUGUCCUCAGCAAUUCAUGUAUAGCAGGUCGCUGUGACCCUUCAGACUAAGUUCUUGGUCACCAGACCACCACUUAUGGGAUGAGUCAUUAACAGAGAACCCGGAAACAGCUUGCUAGCUGGAUACCACAGAGGUAGCACAUGAAUCAGAAAAGUGUAGCUAGGUCUGAUUCAUAAGGCACCACAGAAAGUGUUGUGUUGAGGUGGCCUGGGCAGGCUUUGCCAAACCAUGGAGCAUAUUUAAGGAGGGUCUCCCUGCGACUCUGGGAGAGCGUCAGCCAUGGCCUUCCUAUCCACAUCUGUGCUCAUUAAAUGCUGCAUCCUCCUGUUGGCAGGAGGAUUGGCUGAGAGCCUUACUCUAGGUUUGGCACCUGCUCUGUCUACCCACUCUUCUGGAGUGUCAACACAGUCUGUUGAUUUGUCACAAAUUAAAAGAGGCGAUGAGAUCCAAGCCCACUGUCUGACACCAGCAGAAACUGAAGUGACUGAGUGUGCUGGCAUUCUGAAAGAUGUUCUGUCAAAAAACCUUCAUGAGCUUCAAGGGCUCUGUAAUGUUAAGAACAAAAUGGGUGUACCAUGGGUUUCUGUGGAAGAGCUGGGUCAAGAGAUUAUAACAGGCAGAUUGCCAUUCCCCUCUGUGGGUGGCACACCAGUGAAUGACCUGGUACGAGUUUUGGUGGUGGCAGAAUCAAACACCCCAGAAGAGACUCCAGAGGAGGAGUUUUAUGCCUAUGUGGAACUUCAGACUGAGUUGUACACCUUUGGUCUGUCUGAUGACAAUGUGGUUUUCACUAGCGAUUAUAUGACUGUGUGGAUGAUUGACAUUCCCAAAUCUUAUGUGGAUGUGGGCAUGCUCACACGAGCAACUUUCCUGGAGCAGUGGCCGGGUGCCAAAGUGACUGUCAUGAUUCCCUACUCCUCCACCUUUACCUGGUGUGGAGAGCUUGGCGCCAUCUCUGAAGAAUCUGCCCCACAACCAAGUUUGAGUGCCAGAUCCCCGGUCUGUAAGAACAGUGCCAGAUAUUCUACCUCAAAAUUUUGCGAGGUAGAUGGAUGCACAGCUGAAACUGGCAUGGAAAAGAUGUCUCUGCUCACUCCAUUUGGAGGCCCACCUCAACAGGCUAAGAUGAACACUUGCCCAUGCUACUACAAGUACAGCGUGAGCCCACUGCCUGCCAUGGACCACUUGAUCCUAGCUGACCUAGCUGGCCUGGAUUCUCUCACUUCACCUGUUUAUGUGAUGGCAGCAUAUUUUGAUUCUACACAUGAAAAUCCUGUGAGACCAUCCAGCAAGCUUUAUCAUUGUGCUCUACAGAUGACAAGUCAUGAUGGGGUGUGGACUUCAACUUCCAGUGAGCAGUGUCCCAUUAGACUGGUUGAGGGCCAGUCUCAAAAUGUGCUGCAGGUCCGGGUGGCUCCGACAUCGAUGCCUAACCUGGUUGGGGUCAGCUUGAUGUUGGAGGGGCAACAGUACAGGCUGGAGUAUUUUGGGGAUCAUUGAUACUCAGUAACUUAAGAGGAAAUUUUUUUGUUAAAAAUAAAGUUAUUUUUAAAAAA
rnacentral:tmRNA from 1 species